AACGCGAAGAACCUUACCUGGUCUUGACAUCCACAGAACUUUCCAGAGAUGGAUUGGUGCCUUCGGGAACUGUGAGACAGGUGCUGCAUGGCUGUCGUCAGCUCGUGUUGUGAAAUGUUGGGUUAAGUCCCGCAACGAGCGCAACCCUUAUCCUUUGUUGCCAGCGGUCCGGCCGGGAACUCAAAGGAGACUGCCAGUGAUAAACUGGAGGCAGGUGGGGAUGACGUCAAGUCAUCAUGGCCCUUACGACCAGGGCUACACACGUGCUACAAUGGCGCAUACAAAGAGAAGCGACCUCGCGAGAGCAAGCGGACCUCAUAAAGUGCGUCGUAGUCCGGAUUGGAGUCUGCAACUCGACUCCAUGAAGUCGGAAUCGCUAGUAAUCGUGGAUCAGAAUGCCGCGGUGAAUACGUUCCCGGGUCUUGUACACACCG
rnacentral:rRNA from 1 species